rnacentral:rRNA from 1 species
AUGCGGCGAUCAGAUGUUUUGCGGGGCGCAUGCUUGACCAUGGUCAUAUGUGUGAAUGAUGCUGAGUGCCUAGUGGGCGAAUUUUGGUAAGCAGAACUGGUGCUGUGGGAUGAACCAAACGCCGUGUUACGGCGCCCGAUGCAGAAGCUCAUCAGACCCCAUGAAAGGUCUUGGUUGCUAUAGACAGCAGGACGGUGGCCAUGGAUGUCAGAAUCCGCUAAGGUGAGUGUAACAACUCACCUGCUGAAGCAACUAGAUCUGAAAGUGGAUGGCGCUCCAGCAUUGAGCCCAUACCCGGCCGCUGGCGGCACAGGUUCCGCAUGUGUGCAUGCGUGAGGAAUGGAAAGGCCCCGGCGAGUAGGAGGGUCGCAGCGGUGAGCGUUGAAGGUGUCAGGCAUAGGCACGCCUGGAGGAACCGCUGGUGCAGAUCUUGGUGGUAGUAGCAAAUACUGAAGUGGAGAAGGAUUCCAUGUAAACAGCAGAUGAACAUGCAUCAGUCUGCCCUAAAGAAUAGUGGAAACCCAUUCUGAAUUUCAGGGUAGUUGCGCAAAAAAACACAGACCAACUACACACCCCAAAGAGACUGAAAGGGAAUCGGGUUAAUAUUCCCGAACCCGGAUGCGGAAAUCAGCCCUUUGGGNCCCAAUGUGGUAACGCAAACAAACUUGGAGACAUCGGUGGAAGUCAAGGGAAGAGUUGUCUUUUNUUUGUAUGGGACGGACUCCCUAAAAUCGGCUCGCCCAGAGAGAGGGAUGAUGUUCCCGUAAA